AGAAAAAAAUAUGUUGCAAAAGAAAUACAUUCUCUAUAAUGGAUGUUUUAAAGGUCUAAUGAGAAGCACAUGUAUGGGAAGCUCUCAUGAAAGGUGUUCUUAAAGAUCAAUACACGACCUCACAAAAGCUCAACCGAGGAAUCUAAGCUGACGGACAUCGCUUCAAGAAGAUAAGACACCGUCUUCAAUCAAUCCAAAAGAACUUCGAACUUCAUGAAUGAACGAGAAUCAUUUUUAUUGAUAAUGAUUAGCUUGAAGAUGAAACAACCUAACUGAAAGAAUAUCAAUUUUUUCAUUAACCACAGGAGAAAGAAGAUUUCGAAGGAUCAUAACGAGAGUCAGUGGAGCAAGGAAGGAUAGAAGCAACGAUCGAACCGAGCCGGCGUAACGACGCUAACUAAACCGACGUUUCCCAGAGACGAAGCCGGUGAAGCAGUGCUAUGGAAGCCAGCGCUUCCCAGAAGCAGAAGCCCGAUACACGGGAGUCGAAGCCGGAUGAAGACCGGUGAGCAAAAGCUCCACCCCUGUAUACACUGGCACACAGAUGAUCGUGUUUAACUGAAGUAUUAGGCGCAGCGAUCUGAUCCCAAAACAGAGGAGAAUUACGAACGUUGCUUACACUGUUGGAACUAGUGGUGUGGUGUUCAACUCGGGUUUAGACUUCAGAACAAGAGAGCUGCAUAGUAACUGUUGUGGCAGAUCAGAGAUCAAUGCUCUCAAGUCAUCGGUACGAAACUUAGGUCACACGAAAUGAGGAAACGAGGAACGGUACAGUGUCACACUUCUAUUUAACCGGUGGCAGCUCACACAAAACUAAAACCGAUUCGUUUUGUUUUUGAUGUCUUCAACCUAAUUAGAGCUCUAUCCCUUCCCUCGAGCACAAAUGGCAUUCAAUCCAGAUACAUUUAAAACCACUGAACUUACUACUACUAAGAGAAUUCAAAGAUCUCAACAUGUCAUACUCUAGUCAAUGUGGACAGAGAAAAAAAUAGUAAUGUUGAUUACAUAUCACGCGAGUCCAAACUAAUCUGUAUACAUAACAGAAUCUUGUCUUAUUGAAAUAGAAUAAUAAAGAAUCAACAAAAGAUAUGUUUCUUA